rnacentral:lncRNA from 1 species
AUACAUUAUAUUUUGCCCAAAGCAUAUUAGGAUAUAAGGUGUUAUCAAGAGUGAUGCAAGCUUAAUUUGUUUUGUCCUUGUUUCUUACCCUAGGAAGACAGGUCUGUUGUUACUGUAAAGAGGUGAAAUGGGAUGGAUGCAUAGUAACAAAGGGUGCUGAGCUAAAGACGUUAGUUAGAGCACUGCACUUGCUCUUGAUGGGAGAACCUGGCCAUAAGUCCACACACAGGACAGACACCUUCCCGAGCUUCCCCUCAUACGUGACAAAAGAUCCUGCGCAGUGCCAGCAAGCUGCUGUAAGGCUUGAGAUUUCCUGGAUAUCCUCAUUUUGUGCCAUGCCAGAUGUUAAUACAAUUUUUAUUUUGGAAUCCUUUUAUUUUUAGAUUGGGAAAAGCAUGUUUUGUAUGUAAGAGAUCUCAAACCUCUUGUGAGGUGAGGCUAUGUCACAGUAUUAUAAGCUAUGCUUGUCUGUAAGCAAAAGAUGCACAAAUGUAGGAAGAUUUUUUUUUCAGUAUGCAUUUUAACCUCUAGGAUGAAAAGGGCUUCUCAGCUAUGAGAUCAUUUAAAACUAUGUACACUUAUAGCAGGAAAAUACAGCUUUGUAAUCAAAAUUGGAGUAGUUCCAUUCACAUGCUUCUUGGAAUUAAACCUAUGGGAAGCUUAUGUGACCAAACAUACCAAAGUGCCUGUGAUGAAUAUCGAGUGCUCCUUUUGCACUCUCCUCCUGUCUAAAAGAUGAAAGUGUGCCUCAGUUUGUAAUGUAACACGUACAGUUGUAACACAGUCUGUGGCUCUUCACAGCACACCCCAGGUAGUCAUACCGUCAGAGUAAUCUCUCUCCUGCCAUCUGACACCUUCCUCUGAAUCCUGUUUAUAAAUCUUUUUUCAUUAGUGAGUAGGAUUGUGAGAAAGUUUGUGUAGGUACACACAUGAACAUAUAUGCACAUAAAAUAUUCAAGGGUGGCAUUUUAGUUGCAGGAGAAAGGCAGGUUAUAUUAAAACUAGUUGCUUGACCAUGGUAUUAGCUUUUUUUUUCCUUAAGUGUGUUUUUAAUUAAGUCCAUUUAAGAGCUUCUGUCUAUAAAAGAGAUUUUUUUCCUGAAAUUGUAUCAUGGCAAUCGUUUUUUCACCAACAACCUAUCUAUCUUAGUUUUGCAUCCAUAGACUUAGUUAAGUGUGUAUUUUAUUUAAUGGAAUGCUUUUCAUAACUAAUUAGGCAAAUUGAGUAGAGUUAAGGGUACAAUCCCCUAAUAAAUCAGUAUGAUCCCUACUACAGUCACAAAAGCUGGUGCCAAUGAGUUCAGAUACAGUGCCCCCACGUGCAUCAUCUGAGUCUUCAAGUAGCAUCUCCAGUCUAAGUGGAAAGGAGACAGAAGGUCUAGUAAUACUAGUCCACUUAGUUGUAGUUCUGAGUGCUGCAUGAGGAGGGCUGACUUGCCAUCAAGGCACACUCCAGUGUCCUAAAGAUAUAAAAUAGAUAGAUACUUUUAGUUCUCAAAAUGUUAACUUUUAGUUUUUAAUGACUUACCUAGGAAAAAAGAAUGUUACAUUUUCUACUUUGAGCCAAACCAAUGAGGGAAAUUAGUGAUUUGAAGUACAGCUCUCCUAACUUAUUCAUGUGGUGGCUUAUCCUGUGCCUUAAAGUACAAAGGUGUUUUCAAGUUUCAGGUGAAAACAGAAGCAGCCUUGCAACCAUAUGUACUACCAUUUGUAUUUUGCACUCUAUAUUUCUUGUACAGGCAGUCCCUAUGCAGAGGUGUUUAGGAUUAGUUUAAAAAACCUCAGGCAGAUACAGAGAGUGCAGCCUGCUGCAGUGAAUGGUCCCAUCUGGAUUACCCACUGUAGGGUAAUAGAGGGUGGUUCUUGUUUUUUGUUGUUUGUUUGUUUGUUUUAAUCAUAGAAUGUCCUUUUUGCUUAAUUUUAUAUAACAGCACAUGUAUUUAUUCAAUAAAACUUUUAUGUUAGU